rnacentral:miRNA from 1 species
AGGGGGCGGGCUCCGGCG